UGUGUUGGCAGCAGAGGUAUUCACAGUAACAGUGAACUUGAGGUUGUUUGUUUGUUCUCACUCAGUGUGUCGUUGACUGUUUGCUUGUCUCUGUUGCUGGUAUCGGAGAUGGGUAAUUUGGACCCGAGGGCAGAUAACACCAUGAGCAAAUGUUGGAUAAACACAAUUUUAAAUGUGAUCAUCCGAAUGAACAAAGAACAUUGGAUUGAAAUUAAUGUUGGGGAAAGAUUUUGUAUUUUAUGAAGCCCAAAAGAUGCAUCUACCGAUCCUUAUGCUUGAUUAUGUCACGUUGCUUCCGAGGCGAUGAAAAAUCGCCUCGUGCACAACAAAAAUAACGAGGUGGAUCCCAGGAAAAAAGCAGACACGAAAAGGUCUUGUAUGAAAAACAAAGGGUUUUAAUACGAACAGAAAGAGCCCAACAGGGAAAACGGUAACAGAAAACGCUGGUCAAAUAAGGACCAGGAAAUAAGGAAAAACAACCGAAAACGCUCGCGAAAAAACAAAGAGCGAGGAAGUAUUGAGAUCAUUAAUCUAGAGCAAUAAUAAUUUGGAUGAAACGCGAAUAUCAAUAGUAGUGGCCGUAAGGCAAAAAGGCAGCGAGUAAAUUCGAACGAUCAAAAAGCGAGAGAGAGCAAUGGCACGGUAAGGAAUUCUCCGGCAGUGAGAGGACUGCCGGAGUCUCAUAAUAAAGGAGGGUAAUCAGCCCGAAAUUACGAACAGGUGUGCAGAACAGGCGGAGGAAAAAACCCGCCACCUGCUGGCGGGCACUCGACGUGACAUAUUAAUUGUCCUUAGCAGGAAAAGGAUGAUGAAAAAUCCACAUUGUAUAUAUUUUAUACGUGUGUGUGUGUGUGUGUGUGUGUGUGUGUGUGUGUGUGUGUGUGUGUGUGUGUGUGUGUGCGUGUGCGUGUGCGCUAUGUCAAAAUUUGUAGGCUUCAUCCUCCAAAGGCCGAAUUUGUCUGCCACAUGAUGUAACUUCCAGUGUCUCUCGACCGCAACCUGGUGUCCAAAUUCACACGGCCUUUGAAUCUGGCUCUUUCUUCCUUUUGCUUUCAUGCAGGAAUCAAAUUUCAGACCCACAGAAUCUGUUGGAACACCCAACGACUAAUUCUGUAUUUGCCCAUAUGAAUUGAAACUGCUAGAUCAAGUAAACAUGAUGUUGCCUAAUGGACUUUUCAAACUUCAUCUCCUAGGUGUUUAUGCGACUGGACACCUUUGAAGGACUUGUAUCGUAUAAUUCAUUCCACUAAGUUAGUUCCACUGAGUCAUGCAUUUAACAUCUAUUACAAAAUUAGUACAAUCUGGUUCGAGAUGCUGCUGUAUUCUACAAAUCUCAUUUAUGGAACAUCGGCUUCUUCCGAAAACAAGUCACUUGUACAAAAUUGGCCAACAGUUGUUGUAUCAGGAGACUGAUUGUUAAUUUGCGCAAGUGGGCAAUUGCGGCUGGUUGGUGUAAAGUAGUUAUCCAUACAAGUUGUUACUUUUUUCUUUGUUGGUCAAUCACUUGCCGGAAGGGAGUCAAAUUAGUUCGAAAAAAGCUCGGAUUCAGAUGGCGCGAUGUGUACACCAUUGUGUAAUUGACAGAUGAAUUUAGGUUUGUUGGAGUUACUCUAAGAAAGAUUGUGCAACCCACAACACACAUUGCUUAUUAUCAGUCUCCGACUCAGAUUAUCGUCUGGUAGGAAGGAAUUCCACUCCAACAUUCUGUCUCGUUACGUGUUAAUAAUCGCAAUUCAAUAGCUUUGAAAGCUACUUCUGUCGAUGAUUUUGGGGGGGGGGGGGGUUCUUGAUUUUUCCUGCCUGCUCAAAACUGACCACUUCCUUGUCCUGUCACAGUCUUUGCACUAAAAAGUAGUCUCUCGGAACAGUCUUCCAAAUCUCUCCAUGAGAAGAGAAUAUUACUCCUGACCCAGGGUGCCCAGAAUGCUUUCUAACGGAUUUAACAUUUUGGGGGUUUUUUCCACAUCUUCAUUCGCAUGCACAAAAGAAUAACACCAGCUACAAGGUUUUAACAUUUUUUUUCCAUAUCUAGCGUUAGUGCCUGUGAUGCUCCUGUUAGAUAGUGUUUCCCAAUCUCUCUUGCGUAUCCCAUUUUCAUCCUAGCAUCAACAUUUUUCCUUUGCAAGGGCUAUCAAUACCACCAGGGUAGAUGCACAGUAGGGGACAGAAAAAAAAAGACAUGAUGCUGGAUAAAACCAAGGUCUCCCGAACAAGAAACCCCAACAGGUGUCAAGAAGACGCUCCCAACAGAAGCUGCCUCUUCGCAUUAUAUUUUGGACUAUGAAAUGCUCUUUGCUCGGUCAAGACUUUUCCUUUGGUAACUUUUCUUAACCAACUGCUACGUAUUAGUGAUGUGUUUGUUUUGUAUUUAAACUCAAAAUGAAUCAUUUCAGACUGUCAAUGAUAUAAUGGUUGAACUUUGUUCAGCUAAUCCCAAAAAAAAUUCAAGGCAUAAAGUUGCUGCUCAGCUAAAUUCAAUUCUAAGGGGGUCUGCGACUGUAUAUGGUUAACAACUCCGUAAUAAGAGUUCAACAUUAUUGGGGGAAUUGAUGGGGCGGAUUUAAUUACUUAUGUCGUUUAGAAUCAUCUGGCUCUUCCAGCUGUUUUGAAAAAUCGUUUUAAUGUCAUUGUCAACAGAAAAAAAAAAGAAAUCGGGCCUCCAUCCAUUCCACAGUCACACGGUGGACAUAUUUUUUUAUGCUGUUUGUUGCACAAAACAUUUUCAAGAAGCCUUCUGCACUGUGUAAAAAGAUUAUGCUCUUAGGAGGGGAAGGGGGGGGGGGGAAGCGAGGCAGUCCGCACAUCCAGUCCAAUGGUUUUUGAAUUGUGACUUGUAAAUACUUUUUCAUACAGCUUUUUGAUAGUGUUUUAAUUGUAUCUGUUAAAAAAUAAAUAAAUACAAAAAUAGAUGUACAUAAACCUCUGAUGGGAGAAAAAAAGUGUAGAAUAUAUGAAUUUAUUUGUACACAAGAACACUGGAUUUCUUUACUACUUGAUUGUAACUAAAAUUAAUAAUCUGCCAAAGUGUUUUUAUUUGACUUUUUUCCUGUUGUCUGUUCCAUAUGUUUGCUUUUUAACAGGACUGCAGAGUUUAUGUUCAUACUGUAUUUAAUUCUGUUGAAUAGAUUUUGUUGUGUGUGUGUAUAUUUAAAAGGGGGUUCUCCUUUUUAAUUUAUUGGUGCCUUGUUUUGUGCUCCUGUAUACUUUUACUCUGUCUUUCCUGUGUUCUGUGUCUGUAGGAGAACAGAUGGGAUUACCUGGUGGGAUAGUCGGGGGGGAAGGGCCGUGGGAGUUUACACCUUAGCAACUUCUGUACUCACAUCUGUUCCGUAUGCCAAAAUGGUCUCACUCACGUUUCUAUGAAAUCAAGCUGUUCAUAAAUAUCUCUAUAUAUUGAUAUAAUAAAUUUGUAAAAACUG